UAAGGCCCAUGAAUGCAGGAGGGAAAGUGGACGCUGCGUUCCAGAGAGGCGCUGCAGACAGUCCGUGCCCAAUGUUGCAUGUGGAAAAGAGGGACACGUAUGUUGCAUGAGAGAUUCAGUUGUCGGUCGAAACAAAAUCGGCAAAAGCGACGGAGCCCAGAGAAAUCAAGCGAAAA
rnacentral:lncRNA from 1 species